CGCGGCCUAUCAGCUUGUUGGUGAGGUAAUGGCUCACCAAGGCAUCGACGGGUAGCUGGUCUGAGAGGACGAUCAGCCACACUGGGACUGAGACACGGCCCAGACUCCUACGGGAGGCAGCAGUAGGGAAUCUUGCGCAAUGGGCGAAAGCCUGACGCAGCAAUGCCGCGUGCGGGACGAAGGCCCUAGGGUCGUAAACCGCUUUCAGUAGGGACGAAAAUGACGGUACCUGCAGAAGAAGCUCCGGCCAACUACGUGCCAGCAGCCGCGGUGAUACGUAGGGAGCAAGCGUUGUCCGGAAUUACUGGGCGUAAAGGGCUCGUAGGUGGUUGAGUAAGUCAGAUGUGAAAUCUCAGGGCCCAACCCUGAGCCUGCAUUUGAUACUGCUCUGACUAGAGUCCGGUAGGGGAGUGCGGAACUCCUGGUGUAGCGGUGAAAUGCGCAGAUAUCAGGAGGAACACCGGUGGCGAAGGCGGUUCUCUGGGAAUGUACUGACGCUGAGGAGCGAAAGUGUGGGGAGCGAACAGGAUUAGAUACCCUGGUAGUCCACACCGUAAACGUUGGGCGCUAGGUGUGGGGCCUAUUCCAUGGGUUCCGUGCCGCAGCUAACGCAUUAAGCGCCCCGCCUGGGGAGUACGGA
rnacentral:rRNA from 1 species